GUGACGUCCUUCACCCCUCUGGCUCCUGCAAUUCUUCCCGCUCUUCUUCCGCCUAAUGUUUGACUGUGGGUCUCUGCAUCUGUUUCCAUCAGUCGUCUCUGAGGACAAUUAAGUUAGGCUCCCGUCUGUAGCAAAGAAAUAUUCCACCAUCCUGAACCGCACAACACCAUGCUGUGUGGUAGAACUUAUUUACCAAGGCAGUGCCAACGAACAUUUAGGCUGCUUGGCUCUUCAUGGUGAGAUGCCUGCAAUGAAUUGAGCGCAGUGCCCACCCGUAGUGCGCAUCUGAUGGGCCAAGGAGCCUUUUCAGCAGACCUUCCUGAAUUUCUCUCAGAGAAGCCACAUCAAUUUCUAUACUGGAAACAGCUGCUGUAUGAGAGAGCCCACAUUGUUUUAACUUUUCCCCAGCCUGAUGAGAGACAUGUGGAAAAUGGUAUUGCCCCUGUGAAACUACAUUUAUUUUAAAGUCAUAAUUCUGUGUGUGUGUGUGUGUGCAUGUGUGUGUGGUGUGCAUGUGGUGUAUGUAUAUGUGUGGUAUAUGUGUAUGUGUAUAUAUGUGGUGUGUGUGUGUGUGUGAUGUGUAUGUGUGUGUAGUGUAUGUGUGUGGGGUAUGUGGUUGCUUGUGAUGUAUGUGUGUGUGUUCGUGCGUGCAUGUGUGUGUAUAUAUGGUGUGGUGUGCAUGUGGUGUCUGUGUGUAUGUAUGUGAGUGGUAUAUGUGUAUGUAUGUAUAUGUGUGGUUUGUGUGUGAUAUGUGUAUGUGUGUGUGAUAUAUGUGUGUGUAUGUGUGUGAAUGUAGUUGCUUGUGUAUGUGUGUGUGUGGUAUGUAGGUAUGCAUGUGUGAUAUAUGCGUGUGGUGUGCAUGUGGUACAUGUGCAUCUGUUGUGUUGUGUGGUAUAUGUAUGUGUGCUGUGUUUAUGUGUGACAUGCUUGUGCUGUGGCACACGUCUGGAGUUCAGAGGACAACUUCUGGAGAUUGCAUUUCUCCCUCCACCAUGAAUUCUGACAAUCCCACUCGGCUCAUCAGGCCUUUGGAAUACGUGCUGUUGGGGAACGAAUUUUCCCCUUCCGCCAUGGAUUCUGGCGAUCCAAGCAGGUCACAGGCGUACGGAACACGUGCUUUUACCAGCUGAGCCAUCUCACUGGCGUUUCUUUUCAAAUGUUACUCAUAAAUGGUUUAUUACCUCUACAACUUAAUUAUGCUUUUUAAUUGCAGGAGGGCUUUCUGACUGUCACAUGUAACUCCUUGCAUGAUUAAGCUGUCUCUCCCAGCAGCUGUCCCUUCCUGGUGUCUGAUUCUUAUCCAGAUCUCAUUAAUAUUCCUUGAGAGCAUAAAUGGCACUGGAUGUACCGAUGAGAACCAUGUCUUUGUAGAUGUCUCUUUCGUACCCACAUCUCACCGCUCUAGUGCCCAGCCCAAUGGGAAGCCUGACUGGCGUUAUAUGGCCCCACAGCCUUAAGAGAAACUCACUGUUUGGGGGCUGUUUCAGGUCCUCCCCUCGUCCUACCAGUCCGGCACUUCCUACUCGGGGAGGGGCUAUCCAAAUAUCAUCUGACUAUUAGGACAGGCCUCAGAGGCUCCAUCUUGUUUUGAGCCCUUGAUCCUCCUGGGUCAGCCUCCCAGUUCCUGGAAUUUCACAGUGUGCAAUGACAUCGGGCUAGAGUUGAACCUCUCACAGGGAGUCCAAAGGUGAUCCUGCAAUGGCUCCUCUAGGAUUCCAGUGCAAAAGAGACCUGGGAGCUAGUUUUGUCUUACUCCCCGGGUCGUGUUAGCCAGAGCAGGGAGGAAGACAGAGGCCCUAGCCUCCUACCCAGGGAACUGCAUCUCUGCCAGGCCACAGCAGCUUCGAAAGCCCCAGGAUCAAUGACUGAAUGCUAACCAUAUGCCACCAGCUUUACACAUGGCUCAUUCACUUGGUGUUUGUGACAUCACGAAGCAAGCAUUCUCAUCCAACAGAGGAAGAAAUUAGCCUCGGAGAAAUUAAGCAAAUUUCUCAGAGUCAUACAGUUGCACGUUUUAGAAACAGGGUCCCGGAGGAGACGGCUUGGCAGGUAAAGGUGCUUGCUGCCAAGCGCGAUGACCUGAGUUCAGUUCCCUGGGGUGCACAUGGUGAAACAGAAGAACCGACCCCCACAGGCUGCCCCCUCGAUAAAUAAAUCAGUAAGUAAAAAUAAAUAAAUAAAAAGAAAGGUAGAAGAACCAGACAGGCCUUGUUAUUCUCACCUGCCAUCCCAUCUGCCAUCCCAUCUAUUCCAGAGGCUAAGGCAGGGGGAUUGCUGCAAGUUCUAUCCAGCCGGCUGGGGCUCUGGAGUGAGACCUUUGUUUUCCAAACAACCGAAACAGUGACAGACCAGACUUUAACAGUCUCACGGACUCUGAUUCCCACGUGGUAACGGCGUGCUGAGAAUCACACCUCUGGUGUCCAGGGCAGUCUGAACAGCCUUUUUUAGGGUUGUCAAGAUUGCAAAAGAUACAGUCCAGAAACCCCAACCCAGUCUGCAUCUCUGUCCUGCCUGCCUCUGUUGGGUUAGCAUACAGGGUAAAUAAUAUCUACUUCUGGGCACCAUUAAGACAAUUCCCUAAAGCCUUGUCUUCUGAAGCUUUUAGCUCAUUGCUAAACUAACUUUGGUAAAAAUGGUGGGUGCGGGGUUGGGGAUUUAGCUCAGUGGUAGAGCGCUUGCCUAGCAAGCGCAAGGCCCUGGGUUCAGUCCCCAGCUCCGAAAAAUAGAAAAGAAAAAAAAAUGGUGGGUGCAUGACAGUUAAAGUACCUUAUGUUUGGGGCUGAGGCUACAGUGGAAUCGGUAGAAUGCUCACAUUCUUAUCCCAAGACCGUGGGCUCCAUUCCUAGCAUUGCACAAUACUUAGGCAUGGAGACGCACACCUGGAAUCCCAGCAAUUGGGAGACUGUGGCCAGAGGCUCAGAAACAGAGGAGGCCUUUGAGGUCACGGAGUGGGUAACAAGGUGACUGCAGCCUAACAAUCAAGCCCAAGAUUCCUGGAGUCUCUCUUGGAAGGAGAGAGCUGACUGCACAGAGCUGUCCUCUGACCUCCAGACACAAGCUGAGGCAUUUAUGAAUGCCUCCCACCCGCAACGCACACAAUGCAAAAUAAAUAUAAACAAACGUUUAGGUCAUCUAGCUGUCCUCAGCUACACAUGGAGUUUGAGGCCAGCCUGGGCUACUUGAGAGCCUCUCCUUGAAAAACUAAAUUACAAAACAAGACAAAAAAACAAACAAAAACAACCCCUCCUUAACAUCUUGCAAGCUAUUUUUUUUUUUCUUUCAGUUUUUUUGAGGCAGGGUUUCUCUGUGUAGCCCUGGCUGCCUGAAACUUUCUCUGUAGCUCAGGCUGGCCUCAAACUCAGAGGACAUUUUUUUAAGGCAGGCUAUUGCUAUGCAGCCCUGCCUGGCCUGGAACUGAAACUUGCAACUCUCCUACCUCUGCCUCUGGAGUGUGGGGAGUACAGGCUCACAGCAACAUGCUAGGCCAACUUUUUGUUUUGUUUCCUUAUUUGUUUUCCUGACAGGGUUUCACUUUGAAGUUCUGGCUGAACCUGUACUCACUACAGAGCUCGGAGGCUGGGAGUACAGGUAUGUGCUGCUUCAGAGUAACUCCGCAGAGAGGUGUAUUUAAUUCUCACAGUGCUGCAUGCAGAAAUUCCGUCACAGUGUAUUUAAGGGGCCGAGUAAUCUGUAUAGGAAGAACACGAGGGGCUGGGGAUUUAGCUCAGUGGUAGAGCGCUUACCUAGGAAGCGCAAGGCCCUGGGUUCGGUCCCCAGCUCCGAAAAAAAGAACCAAAAAAAAAAAAAAAAAAAAAAGAACACGAGGCUCAGAAGGAAAACGUACUCCUGUUCAUUUAGGGGGAACAAACAAAACAGAACGUGGCUGUGGAACAUGGGAUACCGCAGGCUCCACUUGUUUCAGACAAAUCCACCAAUGAAAGGAAGGUUGGGCUGGUGGUAGAUUAGUGGUAGCCAUCUCUUGCAGUCUAGAAACCCCAACCAAGGUUGGGUAAGACGGCUCCAAGCCAGAUGACCUGACCUCUCCACGGAGCCCACAUGGUGGAAGGAGAGAGUUCACUCCAAAAGCCUUUCCUUAAUCCACAUGUGUCCAGACACAUGUAUAGGCAAGAUAAUUUAAUGUAAAAAAACAAAAAACAAAAACACUUAAAAAAAAGGGAAACCCAAAUUAGCUUGUUAGACAUAUAUUUGUGGUAAUUUUCACAUAUCUUCUUUAAAUAUAAAAUAUAAUUUAAUAGCUUUUAAAAACUUGCUUUGAGGGGUUGGGGAUUUAGCUCAGUGGUAGAGCGCUUGCCUAGCAAGCACAAGGCCCUGGGUUCGGUCCUCAGCUCCGGAAAAAAAAAAAAAAAAAGAAAAAAGAAAUUUGUAGGUCAUAAAAAGAUCACCCGAGGGGUUGGGAAUUUAGCUCAGUGGUAGAGCGCUUGCCUAGGAAGCGCAAGGCCCUGGGUUCGAUCCCCAGCUCCGAAAAAAAGAACCAAAAAAAAAAAAAAAAAAAUCCCCGAGAACCUCUCUAGUCUUUUUCUCCCUCUAAAUUAAUUACCAGCUCUCAUACACAUAUGCUUACCUCCACCUCUUUCCCAAAUAACUAAUUUGUUCUUUUGUCCCUUUGCUUCCUCCCUGCCUCUCCACUUCUGUCGAUAAUUAUUAACUCAACGCAAGGGGGGGGGGCAAACAGCUCACACGAGGGUUUUCAGCAGGGUUGGUUUUGUUAAAUGUACAGUUAGAGAAACUGACAGAAAAAGAUUGCCAAUAAGUUCAAGUUAAGGUGAGGUAAAAAAAAAAGUCUGCUUGGGAAAGAUUGGAAAUGGACAGCUGACAAGGCUCUGCACAGAUUGUUUCUCCUUUAACCUUUGCCCCAUUACAUACAUGACCAUCAGAUGUCUCACACGCAUGGGAUCACGCAUGACCACAUAUGUGAACACAGUGCUGUGCGGCACUUUCUCUACAGUGUUCAACAAAGUCCCACAGUGUAACUACGUAUCUUACACCCAGUGGUGGCGCUCCCAGACCUCGGGAGGCAGAAACAGGCAGAUCUCUGAGUUUGAGGCCAGCCUAGUGUACAGCGCAAGUUCCAGGACGGCCAGGGGCUACACAGAGAAACCCUGUCUUGAAAAACAAACAAACCAAACAGACCACUGUCUGCAAACCACGUGGUCACAGGUCUUGCCAAUUACAGGCUUAAUUAAGAAAAAUAAUCAGUUGGGGGAGUCGGCUUGCACCUUUAAUCCCAGCACUCGGGAGGCAAAGGCAGGAGGACCUCUGAGUUCCAGGACAGCCAGGGCUACCCUGUCUUGAGAAAGGCUAUGUUAGGAGGGUCCUAAACUGCUCCUGAAGGCAGAAGGACCUUCUUACCAUGUCCUCAGUAACUAGUCACGGCCUCCAGACUCAGGUCUCCUUAGUUUCACUAUUGGCCAUUUCCAGGAAAGGCCUGGCUUCAUUUAUCCUUAUCUGAAAUUUUAGAUGAUUCUCUCCAGAGCUUGCUCAAUCUGAGGAGCCAGUGCAGAUCAUGGAGCCAAGUCUGUCAGGCAGGAGGAUUAAACAGACUCACCGAAAUGUGACUCCUCUCAAGCAAGCCCUCUAAUCUUGCCUUUCUGUGAAAACCUGAGAGGAGGAACACAGGGCAGUGCUUUAACCAAGGGUGGUCCCGUAAGGAGUUGGCAAACCACACGGCAAGCCACGCAAGCCACGCAACUCCCCCAAGAAUGACUUCUUAGGGAUUAAUUACAAAUAUUAACAUGUUAAUUUAAUAUAUUAAUAUCCCGCACCCCUUUUACAGGUAUGUUUCCAGAUCUUGUGGAACAGAUAGUUCUGAGUCACUAUGUAGAAGCUGGAAAUGUCCUCUAGAAGACACCAGUGCUCUUUUUGUUUUUUUAAAGAUUUAUUUAUUACCUAUGAGUACACUAUAGCUGUCUUCAGACACACCAGAAGAGGGCAUCAGAUCCCACUACAGAUGGUUGUGAGCCACCAUGUGGUUGCUGGGAUUUGAACUCAGGACCUCUGGAAGAGCAGUCAGUGCUCUUAACCGCUGAGCCAUCUCUCAUCUCUGAGCUUCUUGUUUUGUUUUUAUAUAACCCAUGAUAGCCUCGAACUUGCUAUGUAGCCAAAAUGACCUUAAGUUCCUCUCGUGUCAAUCUUCCGAGGGCUGAAGUACAGAAGUGAGCCGCACUUAGCAUUAGUAUCAACGGUUUAAUUGUAAUGUGUGUCUCUUAGUGCCGACGGACAAGUCUUUCCGGUAGCAUGGACAAGUCAACUUCACAGGGUCUCAGUUUUGUUUUUUACAUCUUUGCCUAUGUGGUGUGUGUGUGCGUCUGUGUGUCUGUGUAUGUGUGUGUGUGCGACUGCAGGCAUGAAUGCAUGAUAGCAAGUAUGUAGAGGUCAGAGAUCAACCUUAGAUGUCUGUCUCUACUUUCCACAUUAGAGGCAGGGUCCUCUCUCUCUCUCUCUCUCUCUCUCUCUCUCUCUCUCUCUCUGUCUUUCUCUGUCUCUGUCUCUCUGUCUCUCUCUCUGUCUCUGUCUCUCUCUCUCUGUCUUUCUCUGUAUCUGUCUCUCUGUCCCCCCUCCCCCCUCUCUCUCCUGCUUAUGCUUCCAGGGUCUCUUGUCUCUGCCUCCCAUCUUGUCCUAGGAACAUCAAAGGAGAGCUACUGAGUGAGGCUGUUUUGGGUUCUGGAAUCCAAACUCAGCUUCUCCAGCUUGUGUGGGAGGGGCUUUACUCACUGAAUGCCGCUCAAGCUCUUCUUUGUUGUCAUUGUUGUUGGUUUUUUUGUUUGUUUUCUUUUCUUUUCUUUUUUGUUUUUUCCUUUUUUCUUUUUCUUUUAUUCUUUUUUCCCCCCCAAACUCUUCUUUUAAAAGCCAGAUAUUAGAUGACACAAAUAUUCGGAGCAAGAGUUAUGCGAGAGGAAAAAGCAAGAGCACUUCGAAAACCUAACCAGCAGUGAAAGGCAUUCACGAAAUAAAACCUAAAGCCAAUGUUUGGGAAAGCUAGAACCAAAACGCAAGGCCACCCAGUCAUGAAAAACGGAAAAGACCGGAAGUCAUGUUACCUGAGGCAUGGGCUUACUUACACCUGGGCUCCCAGGCCUAGGGAGACUGACUGGAGCAGGAGGACAGCUGUGAGUUCAAGGCCAAUGGGGGGGGGGGUGUGCAAGGGGAAGGAAAGGGGGAGGGGAGGGAGCGAGGCAGGGGAGGGGGGAGGGGGAGAGAGAGGCGGGAGGGGGAAGAAAAAAGUUUUGGUAUAAUGUCAGGUUUAAUUAGUUGUCAGUAAGCAAACCCAAAUCGCGGCCAAUGUCAAAGCAUUUCUACUCGGUCUUAUUCCAAGUAAGAAAGGAUUUCAGCGUUCCUGGGAGGCUCUGGGUAGUUUCUUUCCCUGAGAGGAAGGCAGAAGCCUGCUGGUUCCUGAGGCAUUUACCCGCUGGAUUCCAGAUUUUUAAAGGAUAAUGAGAGAGCAGGGCCAUGGUGGCGCUUGCCUUUAGUCCCAGCAGAGGCAGGCAGAUCUCUGUGAGUUCAAGGCCAGCCUGGUCUACAGAGUGAGUUCCAGGACAGCCAGGGCUACACAGAGAAGUCUCGAAAAACAAACAAACAAACAAACAAACAAACAAACAAACGGGGUUAGAGACUAGUGAGGACCAAAAGCGCCAUGUUCUCUCGAUGGCAACUCAGCGAGCAGAAGCACAGACGCGCAGACGCGCAGGCGCACAUGGUGGCAGCAGACCAGUGUCCUGAUCCUGGGAUCACCUGGGAAAUCUGCACCGAUGGAACCAAAUCCCAGCUGCCACUGUCCCCUUUGUCCUCCAGAAAUCCUCAGAGGGUGCCACCUGAUGUGAACCCACAUGUAGCUCCUCGGGCUGUUGUCCAUUUAAAAGACAGUGCCACACCCCUUUGGGCUGCAAACCCACACAAGACUGGUUAAAACGCGAGGUCUAUCUUCACUGCUUAUUCAUUCGCUCAGCAAAUAUUUACUGAGCUCUCACCACACUGGGCAGGGUCUGCGGCUAAGAACCCACAAUGAAAGGCAAGGUCUCUCUUCUCAGGAAACUUCCAUGCUGCUGGGGAAUCCGGACAAAUGAAGGAUGUGACUGGGGCGGGCGGCCCACUAAGGGUAAUCGGGGUACUGGGGAGAAGGGGACAGAGGCUCCAGCGCUGCUCCAGAAAGCUCAAAUGAAUGACAUUUGAGCGGAAUGCAGAACGAGGGGGAGGAUACAGGCAACCAGCCAGGGGAUAAGAUGAGGAGAAUGUUCUAGGCAAAGGCCCUGAGGCAGGAAUAAAAUUGCUGGAGAGUGAGCUAAGAGCUGACUAAGAGGCAGUGGCGGCCGGGUUCACGGUGAACUUACAAGCAGUCGGGAGAGGACUUUAACUGCUAUAUAACACUACGGAUGCAAGAUAAGAUAUAUUUCAUAUACUGUGAUUGCUCACUGUGCCUUAUAGCUACAACGAAACAGAAAGCCUCCUCCGUAAGAGCCCUUGUAAUCUUUCAAGGAAGCAAUAAUUCCGGCAAGUGGCAAGGCGAGGAAUGAAGCAAAAAUAAAACCACAGACACUGACUCAAAAGCCAAUGCUAGAAUAUGCCUGUUUAGGACUUUUUUUUUUUUUUUUUUUUUAAGUCACGUUUUAUUUGGAUCCUUAAGAAACGGGGGUUCAUCAGGAAUGGGGUGGGGGCAGUUGGAGGCUGUGGGAACCGAAGAGGCACGGAGGCAGGAAGGGAACCGGGCGGGUCCAGGAAACAAUGAAUCACUUGGCGUGGCGGUGCCAGGUGGGCGGGUAGUGUGGAGAGAUAAGGCUGGAGAAACACGCUGGGGGCAUCUUGAAGGACACGUACUGAGAUUUAGACAGUAUCCUUGGGUAUUGGCUCCCUGGAGUGUCUACACAACUCUAGAAGAACCAUUCAACGUCACAUUCCCGCAGAUCCCCCAGAGGUCUAGGUGGGACCCGAGAACCCGCAUUUGACCACGCCAAGGCAGUGUGCACGCAGGCGAUCUGGGAAGCCAUAUUUUGAAAAAUCCACCUUUUGACCUUUUUGUUUGUUCUUGUGGCAACCCUGCUGGACUGAAAGGGGGAAGCCUGAUGUCCCUUAGAGGACUGUUCAAAGGCUCUGGCAAAAAUAAACAGUUAAAUAAAUGAAGACCCGAUGAGACCCACGAUUGCUGCUGGGCUACAUACACACUCAGCGAGUUCAAGGCCCAGUAAGAUCUUGUCUCAGGAAUAUCAGACUAGGGGGCUGGAAAAAUGGAUCAGUGGUUAGGAGCACACACUGUUCUUGCAGAGGACCAGAGUUCAAGUCUCAGCACCCACAUCAGGCAGCGCCAGCCUCAGGGAGCCGAUUCGUCUCAGGCUUCCUUGGGCUCAUACACAGACACACAUACAUUCACAUUAAAUAAAAAACUAGAACCCUAAGACUGGUAGGAUGGCUCAAUGGCUCUGCACGGUGCCUGACAACCCCAGCUGGCUCCCACAGGAGAGAAAGGACACCUCACUUUUGAAAGUCAUCGUCUGGCCAGGCAGUAGUGGUGCACACCUUUAAUCCCAGCACUUGGGAGGAGGACAAUGCUGGAUCUCUGGGUUUGAGGCCAGCCUGGUCUACAGUGUGAAUUCCAGGAUAGCCAGGGCUACACAGAGAAACCCUGUCUUGAAAAACAGAAAAGAAAGUUGACCUCCAUGUGUGCACUGUGGCAUACUUGCACACAUACACAAACAAUUAAAACAGAUUUAAAAAAAUAAAAUUAAGAGGGAAAUAAAAAUGAAUAUUUAUCUUAUGUAUCUUUUUUUUAAGUUUCUUUCUUAUUUUUUGAGAUAAGUUCUUCUUAUAGCCCUGGCUGUCCUUGAACUUACGAUCCUCCUUGUCUCAGUCAAAUGCAGGAGUUCCAGGCGUAAGCAGUCGUGAUCAGAUCAAAGAGUAACACUUUAUAAGUGAGCUUCUACAAAUCACAGAGUAAAAACUAGGAACAGCUUCUGUUUGGCCAGCAGGCAUUGUCCAAUAACUUGACACAGCAACAUCAAUCCUCCUGUCGGGGUGAGACCUGGUUCAUAGCCAUCACACAGGAUAGGCCAUCGGGGCUCUGGGGCUCUUCUAGCUUAUUCCACGAGCUUCCCAAGGGUCAUUCUACGGGAUUACUGCACCGGUUUUUACUUUAACUUCUGCAGUCCUGAGAGUUAAAAGGCUAAAGCAUUUAUCCUAGGGUUCCAUGAAGACUGACUCAAGAGGAAACUGUCUUUACUGCAUCCGACCUUCCCUAGGGAAUCUGGAAUGGGGAGCAGGGUGGGACAGGACUAGAAGUGACUCCAGAACGUCUAGCUAACUGUAGUCUUACAGGUCGGACUUUGGGAUCAAGAGCCCAACCCUUUAUAGAGACUGGUCAAUGAGUGACUUGUCCACAAUCACCUACUGGGCGGGUCCCCAGCUCUGUCCACACCACAGCCCUGAUUCUAACACUUUCCACUUUUUAUUUUUUAAAGAUUUAUUUAUUUAUUCUAUAUAAGUACACACUAGAUGAGGGCAUCAGAUCCCACUACAGAUGGCUGUGAGCCACCAUGUGGUUGCUGGGAUUUGAACUCAGGACCUCUGGAAGAUCAGACAGUGCUCUUACCCACUGAGCCAUCUCUCCAGCCCCCACUUUCCACUUUUUUCAACCCACUCAUUCAUUCUGGUGGGGGAGCCCAUCUUUUCCCCAUGUCCUCCUCAGACUCCAAAUAAAUGAAAGAAGCAAAAACCCUUAGCCCUGAAGACCAAACAAAAAUGAGUAGACUGACCGAAAGGCAAGUCACUGAAAGAGAAAUGGAGAUGAGAGUGUGACAAAUGCUCAGGGACUGGACAUUAAAGACAAGAAAGCCAGGUGAUACAUUCUGUAAUCCCAGCAGCUGGGGCGGGGUGCAUCACUCUAGGCCAGCCGAGCAUACAGUGCGUGACUCAAUUUCAUUAAAAGUGAACAAAUACAAAUGAAGUCAACUGCCUUCAAGUGCCUAUCAAGUUAGCAAAACUUAAAAAGGAAUAUCUGAUCAAUGUUUGCAAAGACGCAAAUGCCAGGUGCUCACACCACUGCAGGUGAGAAAGCCCUGAUGAGUCCCUGUCGUUCCUUCCGUGAUGAAGAGCUGUGUUGUGGCAGUGUAAGCCGAAUAAACCCCUCCCCGGCUUGAUUCUGGUCGUGGUGUUUCAUCGCAGCAAUGGUGAUCUUAACUGAAACAAGGCCUGAGUGGAAUGCACUUUUACCUACUGAGCUGUCCCACCAGCCCCCUUUUACUUAUUAUCUGAGACUUAGUAAGUUGUCCAGGCUAGCCUUGUAUGCACAUUGUAGCUAAGGAUUGCCCUGAACUUGCAAUCCAUCUGCCUCAGUGUCUGGAGGAGUUAGGAACACAAAUCUAUGCCACCAAGGCUUGCUUGGCACAGGGCGUUAAGCAUCCGCUAAGCUGAACCUACUGGCACAUGACUUCAGUCUCAGCACUUGGGAGGUAGAAGCAGGAGAAUCAGGAGUUCAAGGCCAGCCUGGGCUAUAUGAGACCCAGUCUCAACAUUUAAAAACAAUGUUAUUGUUGUUAAUAGUACUGUUACUACUGCUAAGUUGUAGCAAGGAAGACAGUGACAGGGCAUUAGAGAGAAGUCUCAGGAUAGCAUGUCCACACAGACAGGCUUACGUUUCAGAUUUUGAAGAAUAUGGGGGAUUAGGGCCACAGCUGAGUGGUCAAGAGCUUGCAGGGCUCGCUCAAGACCCUAGUCUUGAUCCCCCAGUACAGAAAAAGUUACAGAAGGAGGUUUCACUGAGCUGUGGGGUGCCAAAGCUGAAGCUGAUUCCUACUGUUUCCCUCCUGGAUGGUAUGGAUACUUAACUCUGGGGGAGGGGCUGGGUUUGGAGCCUGAGCCAGCCCUUGCACCCAAACUAUGAAACUGUCCUCUGCUUACACUAAACUUACAGCCUGAGAGAUUUUAUUUACGACACUCAAGCCUGUGAAGAAUACAAGGGGAAGAUUCUUACUAUAGGCAAGAGGUUCACCCCCAUGUUUGGAGAGGUCACUUAAAAAAAAGACUUUGCGUGUUUUCAAAUUCAUUUAUGCCCGUUCUGGAAUAACCUUUCUGGACCGACUGUGUUCUAAACCUAGAAGGUACAGGCCUGAAGCUUAGGCAACCGUUAGGAGGAACCACGGAGCUGAGCCCGCACAGGAGCCUCUUCAUCUUGGGGGAAACAGUGUCACCUGUCCCUCACUGCAGGAUAUAAAAGGGCUGCCAAAUAAGGUCCUUCUGGAGGGGGCUUCUAGACACAGUUUCUCUAUGUUGCCCCCUCUGUUCUGGAACUCACUGAGAUCCACCUGCCUCUGAGUGCUGGGAUUAAAGGUUAUGGGCCACCACCAGUCAGGCAGGCGGCACGAUUUUACCUAUAAAAUGAUGAACAACUCAUACCUUUUAAAAAGUAGCGUGUGCACGUGAGUCAGAUGCUAUGCAGCUGCCAUUACCCAGUGUGGAGGACAGAACAGCCCCCCAAAAUGUUUUUUUUUUAAAGAUUUAUUUAUUUAUUAUAUAUAAGUACACUGUAGCUGUCUUCAGACACACCAGAAGAGGGCAUCGGAUCUCUUUACAGAUGGUUGUGAGCCACCAUGUGGUUGCUGGGAAUUGAACUCAUGACCUCUGGAAGAGCAGUCGGGUGCUCUUAACCGCUGAGCCAUCUCUCCAGCCCCAUAAAAACCAAAAUGUUUUAAAAUGAUGGAAAAUCAUUGCAACAUGCUAGCUGAUGGACUGUUGUUGGGUGAGACCUCCUGCUUCUAGUGAAAAGAAGUCUUCAUUCAAUCACUAAUAAUUUGAGUGUAGAGAGAUGCUCAGUGGUUAAGGACCCUUAAGCUCUUCCUGAGGCCCCAAGAUCCAUUCCCAGUACCCACAUCAGGCAUCCUGAAACAUCCUGUAAAUCUAGAUCCAGGGAGACCUGAUGCUUUUGUCCUCUUUGGGCACCUGUAUUCACAUGCAAUAACUGCUUGUGCGCGCUCUCUCUCUCUCUCUCUCUCUCUCUCUCUCUCUCUCUCUCUCACACACACACACACACACACACACACACACACACACACACACACACACAGAGUUAAAGAUAAACAUAAAUCCUAAAGGUUUUUUGAAUCUCAGAACUUUACCUCCAGCCACAGCAUAGACACAUCAGAAUGAUCCCUUUAAGGUACCAUUUACCAAAGAACCUCAAGCCCAGUAAUAAAGCAGAAACUAUGUAAAGCCACUAAUUUGUUACCAAAAGCUUGAAGAGCCUGUCUGUGUUAAGUGACUUAACCACACCUUGAGGUUCCUGUGCAUGGUCUGCAAUGGAGUGUUCUACCUUCCUAUAGAAAGCACAGUUAGGGGUUGGGGAUUUAGCUCAGUGGUAGAGCGCUUGCCUAGGAAGCGCAAGGCCCUGGGUUCGGUCCCCAGCUCCGAAAAAAAAAAAAAGAAAAAAAAAAAAAAAAAGAAA